rnacentral:rRNA from 1 species
GGUUAAGCGACUAAGCGUACACGGUGGAUGCCCUGGCAGUCAGAGGCGAUGAAGGACGUGCUAAUCUGCGAUAAGCGUCGGUGAGGUGAUAUGAACCGUUAUAACCGGCGAUUUCCGAAUGGGGAAACCCAGUGUGUUUCGACACACUAUCAUUAACUGAAUCCAUAGGUUAAUGAGGCGAACCGGGGGAACUGAAACAUCUAAGUACCCCGAGGAAAAGAAAUCAACCGAGAUUCCCCCAGUAGCGGCGAGCGAACGGGGAGGAGCCCAGAGCCUGAAUCAGUGUGUGUGUUAGUGGAAGCGUCUGGAAAGGCGCGCGAUACAGGGUGACAGCCCCGUACACAAAAAUGCACAUACUGUGAGCUCGAUGAGUAGGGCGGGACACGUGGUAUCCUGUCUGAAUAUGGGGGGACCAUCCUCCAAGGCUAAAUACUCCUGACUGACCGAUAGUGAACCAGUACCGUGAGGGAAAGGCGAAAAGAACCCCGGCGAGGGGAGUGAAAAAGAACCUGAAACCGUGUACGUACAAGCAGUGGGAGCCUCUUAAUGGGGUGACUGCGUACCUUUUGUAUAAUGGGUCAGCGACUUAUAUUCUGUAGCAAGGUUAACCGAAUAGGGGAGCCGAAGGGAAACCGAGUCUUAACUGGGCGUUAAGUUGCAGGGUAUAGACCCGAAACCCGGUGAUCUAGCCAUGGGCAGGUUGAAGGUUGGGUAACACUAACUGGAGGACCGAACCGACUAAUGUUGAAAAAUUAGCGGAUGACUUGUGGCUGGGGGUGAAAGGCCAAUCAAACCGGGAGAUAGCUGGUUCUCCCCGAAAGCUAUUUAGGUAGCGCCUCGUGAAUUCAUCUCCGGGGGUAGAGCACUGUUUCGGCAAGGGGGUCAUCCCGACUUACCAACCCGAUGCAAACUGCGAAUACCGGAGAAUGUUAUCACGGGAGACACACGGCGGGUGCUAACGUCCGUCGUGAAGAGGGAAACAACCCAGACCGCCAGCUAAGGUCCCAAAGUCAUGGUUAAGUGGGAAACGAUGUGGGAAGGCCCAGACAGCCAGGAUGUUGGCUUAGAAGCAGCCAUCAUUUAAAGAAAGCGUAAUAGCUCACUGGUCGAGUCGGCCUGCGCGGAAGAUGUAACGGGGCUAAACCAUGCACCGAAGCUGCGGCAGCGACACUAUGUGUUGUUGGGUAGGGGAGCGUUCUGUAAGCCUGCGAAGGUGUGCUGUGAGGCAUGCUGGAGGUAUCAGAAGUGCGAAUGCUGACAUAAGUAACGAUAAAGCGGGUGAAAAGCCCGCUCGCCGGAAGACCAAGGGUUCCUGUCCAACGUUAAUCGGGGCAGGGUGAGUCGACCCCUAAGGCGAGGCCGAAAGGCGUAGUCGAUGGGAAACAGGUUAAUAUUCCUGUACUUGGUGUUACUGCGAAGGGGGGACGGAGAAGGCUAUGUUGGCCGGGCGACGGUUGUCCCGGUUUAAGCGUGUAGGCUGGUUUUCCAGGCAAAUCCGGAAAAUCAAGGCUGAGGCGUGAUGACGAGGCACUACGGUGCUGAAGCGACAAAUGCCCUGCUUCCAGGAAAAGCCUCUAAGCAUCAGGUAACAUCAAAUCGUACCCCAAACCGACACAGGUGGUCAGGUAGAGAAUACCAAGGCGCUUGAGAGAACUCGGGUGAAGGAACUAGGCAAAAUGGUGCCGUAACUUCGGGAGAAGGCACGCUGAUAUGUAGGUGAAGCGACUUGCUCGUGGAGCUGAAAUCAGUCGAAGAUACCAGCUGGCUGCAACUGUUUAUUAAAAACACAGCACUGUGCAAACACGAAAGUGGACGUAUACGGUGUGACGCCUGCCCGGUGCCGGAAGGUUAAUUGAUGGGGUUAGCGGCAACGCGAAGCUCUUGAUCGAAGCCCCGGUAAACGGCGGCCGUAACUAUAACGGUCCUAAGGUAGCGAAAUUCCUUGUCGGGUAAGUUCCGACCUGCACGAAUGGCGUAAUGAUGGCCAGGCUGUCUCCACCCGAGACUCAGUGAAAUUGAACUCGCUGUGAAGAUGCAGUGUACCCGCGGCAAGACGGAAAGACCCCGUGAACCUUUACUAUAGCUUGACACUGAACAUUGAGCCUUGAUGUGUAGGAUAGGUGGGAGGCUUUGAAGUGUGGACGCCAGUCUGCAUGGAGCCGACCUUGAAAUACCACCCUUUAAUGUUUGAUGUUCUAACGUUGACCCGUGAUCCGGGUUGCGGACAGUGUCUGGUGGGUAGUUUGACUGGGGCGGUCUCCUCCUAAAGAGUAACGGAGGAGCACGAAGGUUGGCUAAUCCUGGUCGGACAUCAGGAGGUUAGUGCAAUGGCAUAAGCCAGCUUGACUGCGAGCGUGACGGCGCGAGCAGGUGCGAAAGCAGGUCAUAGUGAUCCGGUGGUUCUGAAUGGAAGGGCCAUCGCUCAACGGAUAAAAGGUACUCCGGGGAUAACAGGCUGAUACCGCCCAAGAGUUCAUAUCGACGGCGGUGUUUGGCACCUCGAUGUCGGCUCAUCACAUCCUGGGGCUGAAGUAGGUCCCAAGGGUAUGGCUGUUCGCCAUUUAAAGUGGUACGCGAGCUGGGUUUAGAACGUCGUGAGACAGUUCGGUCCCUAUCUGCCGUGGGCGCUGGAGAAUUGAGGGGGGCUGCUCCUAGUACGAGAGGACCGGAGUGGACGCAUCACUGGUGUUCGGGUUGUCAUGCCAAUGGCACUGCCCGGUAGCUAAAUGCGGAAGAGAUAAGUGCUGAAAGCAUCUAAGCACGAAACUUGCCCCGAGAUGAGUUCUCCCUGACCCUUUAAGGGUCCUGAAGGAACGUUGAAGACGACGACGUUGAUAGGCCGGGUGUGUAAGCGCAGCGAUGCGUUGAGCUAACCGGUACUAAUGAACCGUGAGGCUUAACCUU